CCGCGGACGGCCGUUCGCGGGGAACUGACACCGGUACCUGAUACGGCCGGUGCAG
rnacentral:ncRNA from 1 species